AAAGGAAGGCCAGUUUUACUCCUUUUGUUCGUGGUUGUCUCCUUUGUAUCCAGUAAAAUGGACUUAAUUGGAGACCCUGUAUCCAACAUUGUGGAGCGGUCUGAGUCAGGAUUUACCUAUAACGGGGCGGCGAAUGAUAACUUGAGUUAUAAAGUAUCAGAGGGAGAAGACGGAGAAGACGGAGAAAACGGAGAAGCGUACGAGUUUAGUAUACCUUAUGAUAAGGCUAUUGAAGACUUUACUGGAGUUGCGUCUCCAGUGUGUGGUGAUGAGAUAGACCAGCUGGACGUGUCCAAAAUGAAGAAACCUCAUCAAAUUAGACUUUCUUACACUGGGGAUCCAACUGAAAUGGCUAUUACGUGGACUACGAACGGACGAACUGAGCAUGAGCUGGUUAACUACGGACCAGUAAAAUCUGAUCUGAACUACACGUCCACCUCCAUCUCCCACCAGUAUAAAUGGCACUGGGACGCGGAGCUGAGUGAAUGGUACUACACCAGCGGCUUCAUACACGAGGCUCUCAUGAUUAACCUCAUACCUGGCAUGAUCCACUACUAUCAGAUCGAAAGUAACGGAGAGGAAUCAGCAGUGAUAAAGUUUGUAGCAGCUCCAGAUCCGGGCUCCAACACUCCCGUCUCUUUCAUGCAUGUUGGAGAUGUCGGAACAUUCGGGACGUCAGUGAAGGUAACGAAUGACAUGAUGAAGAGGAUGGAAGAACAACAGUUUCACGGCUUGAUCCACUGUGGGGAUAUCAGCUAUGCGAACAAGUUCAACCACAGUCGUCCUAAGAACGCCGAGCAGAAAGUUUGGGACACGUGGGGCCAGAUGGUGGAGCCGGUUGGAAGCAAGAUGGCUUACAUGGCAGUUCCAGGCAACCACGAGCUGGACAUUUACGAUUCUACUAACGAAAACGGGACAAUCUACACCAAACGCUUCAUCAUGCCGGGUAACGAGCGUUAUUUCUCAUUUGGAGUGGGUAUGGUGCACUUCGUAGCAGUUUCUACUGAUGAGUCUAUUGAUGCAAGCUCUACCCAGGGGGAAUGGUUCAAGAAUGUUCUGAAGAAAGUGAACCAGAACCGUAAACAGUGGCCUUGGCUGGUUGUAUUCCAGCACAGACCCAUCUAUAACUCCAACAAUAAGCACAAGAACUGGGAAGGUCGUGUUUUCAACACGAGUAAAAAAUACGUUAACCCGGAGAUAAUAGGCUGGACGGACAACUACCCCACCCUACUGGUGGAGCAGAACGUGGACCUGGUCAUCAUGGGACAUGUUCACCACUAUGAGAGGACCUGGCCUAUGAAGAAUACUCAGACCUACGAUACAAGUUAUGAUAACGUGAGGUUCCCUGUUCACAUCACUUGUGGUCACUCUGGUAAAAGCCUGUACAGGUUAGUGAAAUCAAUCCCGACAUCGGGAUCCCCGACUCCCGAGAUUUCCCGACGAUUUUCGGGAUAAUUUUACGUAUCAGAGCUACUUCAGCUAUAAUUGAGUUAUGUCCAAUUGAAGGGUAAGACUGGAUUUGGAGGAGUAAUUUGAGGGCCUACGAAAUAGUUUCUACCGGUAUUUUGUCUAGCUGAACAUCCUGCACCCUUUGAACAUCCUCGAUUUGCCUGAAUCUUAAAAAUGGCGAGCUGGAGGCUAGUCCUACAGGUUCUGAACGGACGUAUUAGAAAUACUUCAGCUAUUGAGUUAUGACUUAUGUCCAAUUGAAGGGUACUACGAUUAUUACGAGAAUGGCACGAAGUUCGACUCGUACCACAAGUCCAACCCGGGCUGGUCUGCUCACAGAGAUAAUGCUCACUGGGGCCACUGUGAACUGAACUUUAUUGACGAUACCAGCGUAGAGCAUCGGAUGUACCAGAUGAACGAAACUGAGCCCUCUGUGAAGGUAUUAAUAACCAGAUCUAAAGACAGAUGGUCUUCAGCUACCCCUCUCACACUCUCUACAACUCUCAUAUUGUUAUCUUUCUCUUUAAUCUGGUGAUAUUAGGUUCGCAGUAGUAGCCGACUAGUUGUAUUAAGUAUUAAUAUUGUUCAAAGAGUUCAAAUGAGCAGUAGUAGCAGACUAGUUGUAUUAUUUAUUAAUAUUGUUCAAAGAGUUCAGAGAGUUGAGACUCUGAAGUAGAUCGGUGAAGCCAUCUGUAGCCCAGUGGAUUAUUUUAGGUAUUUUAAGUAUUAUACUUCAUAGUGAAGAUAAACCGAAUCAUUAUAUAAUUUAUUACAUGGAGAUGUUGAUUGUUGACCCAACUAUUAAUAAUUGAAUAGUGAGAUUCAGUAUGUGACCCAUUUGAAUAUUUCAAUG